rnacentral:misc_RNA from 1 species
UGCCCACACAAACAUAUCCGUGCGCGAAAGACGCCUCGACUCUCGCCUUCACUGCACCCGCACGUGUGUCUCCAGCUCUCUCUCCCUCUCUUGAUGCAUGUAUGCCUUUCUUGGCAAAGUCGCAGUGCACGUACUUUGUGUUUCUGCUCAUUCUUUUGCCAUCUGCCCCCCCCACGCUCUGCGUGCGGCCAGAGAGAUCUGCAGCGGAUCGAAAGUACCCGUGAUCGGUGAGGAACUAGCGUAGCUGCGUCGCUUUUUGCCACUCCUGCCCUUGCUCCUCUUCCCCUCUGUAUGUGUGUAGCAGGAUGAGUCUGCGACGCAGUGCCGUGCGGUGGAGGCCGGCGUACACAGUGCUCGCUCACCGCUCUAGCGACAUCUCCGUAGCAGUCCCAGAACGCCAUCAUGUCCGACCAGGUGUCUCUGGUCUAUCUGCUAGCUCUCAUAUGUGGGAAUCUGUGGUGGGUGCCUUCUAUGACGAGUUUUUGUUGUACACGCAGCACUGCUCGAGUGAAGUGCGCCUCACGAACGCGGCGGAGGCUGCGAUGCUGCGCUGCCUCGAUGAAGAGCGAGCCAGCGAGGCGCUCGAAGUCUACGAAGCGGUGUGCCGAUGUGGGAUUGUCGGGAUGUCACGAACGCAGGGCCGCAGCAGCUGCUGUACGUCGCCAACCACGACUGGGCCACGCACGUGCACGUCCCAGGCCUCUGUCUCCUUAGAUCAGCUGGCUCAGCGUGCGUUGACGCACGUGCCGCACCGCCAGUGCCAGAAUUCAAUGCUGGCACUUCUCAUGGCGGCAGAGCUCGACGCGCCUUCGUCUACCACAGACUACGGCGAUGGCCGCAGGGCUGCAGGCUCACCUCACGGCAGCCGCGACUUGAAUGCGUCAUCAUGCAGUGCGUAUGCAACGUCCACAGCAACGGACGAUGAGAGAGGAGUGUCUGUAGAGGCCACGCUUCUGUCACAGGCUGGGGCUCCCUCCGCCGCGGAGCAGGCGCGAAUUCGCGUUCAGCAACGUCUACACGCCCUCCACACAACGCAGCAGCUUCGCCAACCUCUUGGGAAGGAGUGUUGCUUGGUGGAGAUGCUGCAGCUCUGUGCACCUUCCGACGUCGGCUCACGUGCUUUCACGGCGGUUAAGAAGGUGACAGAUGAGGUCGAAGUCGGCCCUCUGCGCACUCUUUCGCACGUGGUCUUGCACCACCCCUUCACCUACAUGCAGCCCUCCGCGCCGUGGGCACAGCGGGAGGUACUCUGGGAAGAAAUCACCUCGCGUGUGUGUGCGCAGUCUUUGACCCCCGCCGAUGCUGCCCGCCUCACCAAGAUCGAGGACGCCGUUAGCCCGUACCGACUCUUCUGCAAGAGCUCACUGAUGUUCCUCGCGCGGAUGGUGCCGAACUGGGAUGCGGUGCUGGUGCGCCGCGUCGCCGAGACGCUGGUGUUACCUGCCGCCGCGCAUAGCGUUUUCCCAGAGUCGUACCGGCGACUGCGUUCCACCGCAGCGCAACGCAGACGUUCCUCGGCGAGGAUAGCGCUGUCGACGCCAGGAGUGGCUUGCGACCAACUUGCCGCUCCUGGGUGCUGCACUUCGUGGACAGACUCAGCCACGCACAAGUUGUUUGGAGAGGAGAGCUGCGACGGCCACGUGUCACCACUGCUGCGAGUCGAGUAUCUCGUUAAGCGACGCGUACACCACGAUGUCGUCGUUCCCGACACGGCAUACAUGCUGCAGCGCUUUCAGCAGGUCAAGCAACUGGCGCGCCACCGCGAAGUCAUCGUGACGCACGGUGUCUUUCUCGGUCUUGUGGCUGCCGCCUCGCUUCCCACCCACUCCACGCGCUUCCACGCGCGACGCGUGCUACGAGACAUCAUGUGCGCCACCACCACGGCCGUCACCGGCAAGGCGAGCGCCGAGGCUGGAGGCCAGCUGGACGUGCAGGGCCUGACGUCAGCAUCCCGUCGACGCCACCAGCAGCAGCAGAGCGGGUUCACCCUGUUGGGGCUCCAGGAUGAAUUGGCGCUGCUCGAGCGGUGCCCAGAGCGCUUUUACUUGUCGGAGUUCUCAUCCGCUUCCUCGCUCUCGGACUGGGCCCUCAUGGGUCAGUGGACCUCGCUCGACUCAGCCGCGCGCGUCGGCGACAUCCAGUAUGGGGGCUGUCCCUCCAUCGUACUCGUCGCGAAGCAGCUUCAGCGCAUGAUUGCAGCGCACGACCGCGGCGAAGACUUCUUAGCAAACAACGCGACGACUGUCCCCACCAGCACAUGCGUCGGGAUAGAUAGCCUUGUGCAGCACAUCUUGCAAGGGAACAACGCCGCUAGCCCAAAGAUGCCUUCAUCUAAGCAGUCAACCGGUCCGCUCUUCAAGAACCGCUCCUGUGGUUUGCGGGCUCGCAUGCCGAUCGUGGUAGCCACGACACACGAAAGCACACGGGCGGCGGCCUUCACGGUAGGCCUCAAUAUGCACCCACCGGCCGGUGUCGCACCGUGAGCUGGCGGCGGGACCGCUCCGCCGGCAUGUUCCUUUUUUCCUUUUAUCGAGCUCUUGCGUGAAAGGCGUGUCCUUCACACUUCUCUGUCCAUGUGUGCACGAGUGCACACAUGGGCCGAUGCAACGUUGGCAUGAGCAGCAGCGGUGGAAUGAGGGGUUGUCGCUUCCCUGUGAGGCUUGCUCAUGCAUAUCUCAUCGCCAACUGUGAGUGCCAUUGUAUGCGCUGCGACGACAAAGCCAAGGAAAAGAAGGAAAACGAGACGAAGAGCGCGCUCGAGUGGGGUGCGCGGCUGCGUCUUUCAACGGUGGGGCCCUCGCCUCUUUUUAUCACCGCAUUGUGUAUGUCUGUUCUCUCUCCUUCCGG